CCUCACCCCCUACGGCCUCGGCUCAUCGCCUCCUCUUCCCAUUAUGGUGUCGCCCCGCCACAUCCUCUCCCCACCACAGGUUCGCCUCACCGCCAACUCUUCCGCCGUCGUGUCUCAACGCAGAUCUCAGUGCGAGCUGCUGGACACGAUGAGGGAGUGGGCAUCUCAGAGCGGACCGGACCCACUGUGUCUAUGCGAACACCUCAGGCUUAGACAGCGCCAGAUGGAGCGAAUUCGCGCCCUUGUCAAGGGACAUGGAGCUCGGGACGCCGCGCUCCCUCCUGCUUCUUCUUCUCGGAACGCCGUGCCGCCAUGCAAGGCUUGAAGUGGAGGUCGUAAUCCAGUAAGUGGGGAGUACUCAAUGCGGGGGUCGACAUUAUUGACAUUUUCUUUGUUAGAAACGACACUUUGUGGCGUUCUUAAUGAAUUUGGACCAUGAAGUGGAGCCUGAUCACCCAUUAUCACAUCACCAGGGCCGAUACGUACCUAACUCCUCGCCCCUGGUGCAGGCCAUCGGGGUGAUGCACGGGAGGUACGGCAGCGCGCCGGGGUGGCCAGAUGUGUCAUCAGACGACGACCACCGGGUUGAGGAUGGCGUGGAGACUAGAUCUACUCCAGAUCGGUGUGAGGAGCCACCGUGGUGAGGACGUUGCGGCAACCAUUGGCGAAGAAGACCGGCGAGGUCAUCUUCGUGGCCUCGUGGCGGCGUUAAUCGUGAAGGUUUCCUUUUGGAGUCUGGCGGCAUUGCUCGUUGGGACGUGUAGCGUCGUAGAGGGCAGAGUCUUCCGGUAGAACAUUUAGUUUCAACCGUUGAUCUGAUUGUAGCCUGGUGGAUGUAACGUGGACAGUCAGAUGGUAAUAAGUGGGUCAGAUCGGACGGUGGAGGUCAUCCCGUGUACACUUAUUCAUGUGGGUGUAGGGGAAUUGAUGUUUGCUCUUUAAAUACUAGUAUAGAUGUGCUCACACACUAACAUCU